UACGGGGGGGGCAAGCGUUGUUCGGAAUUACUGGGCGUAAAGGGCUCGUAGGUGGCCAACUAAGUCAGACGUGAAAUCCCUCGGCUUAACCGGGGAACUGCGUCUGAUACUGGAUGGCUUGAGUUUGGGAGAGGGAUGCGGAAUUCCAGGUGUAGCGGUGAAAUGCGCAGAUAUCAGGAGGAACACCGGUGGCGAAGGCGGAUCUCUGGGCCGAUACUGACGCUGAGGAGCGAAAGCGUGGGGAGCGAACAGG
rnacentral:rRNA from 1 species